rnacentral:rRNA from 1 species
ACGCUCGACACCUACGGAGGCAGCAGUGGGGAAUAUUGCACAAUGGGGGAAACCCUGAUGCAGCGACGCCGCGUGGAGGAAGAAGGUCUUCGGAUUGUAAACUCCUGUUGUUGGGGAAAAAGAGGAUGGUACCCAACAAGGAAGUGACGGCUAACUACGUGCCAGUAGCCGCCGGUAAGUCUGAGCGGGCGUGGCAAGGC